rnacentral:rRNA from 1 species
GAUGAACGCUGGCGGCGUGCCUAAUACAUGCAAGUCGAGCGAACGGACGAGAAGCUUGCUUCUCUGAUGUUAGCGGCGGGCGGGUGAGUAACACGUGGAUAACCUACCUAUAGACUGGGAUAACUUCGGGAAACCGGAGCUAAUACCGGAUAAUAUUUUGAACCGCAUGGUUCAAAAGUGAAAGACGGUCUUGCUGUCACUUAUAGAUGGAUCCGCGCUGCAUUAGCUAGUUGGUAAGGUAACAGCUUACCAAGGCAACGAUGCAUAGCCGACCUGAGAGGGUGAUCGGCCACACUGGAACUGAGACACGGUCCAGACUCCUACGGGAGGCAGCAGUAGGGAAUCUUCCGCAAUGGGCGAAAGCCUGACGGAGCAACGCCGCGUGAGUGAUGAAGGUCUUCGGAUCGUAAAACUCUGUUAUUAGGGAAGAACAUAUGUGUAAGUAACUGUGCACAUCUUGACGGUACCUAAUCAGAAAGCCACGGCUAACUACGUG